CCUACGGGAGGCAGCAGUGGGGAAUAUUGGUCAAUGGACGAGAGUCUGAACCAGCCACGUAGCGUGAAGGAUGACUGCCCUAUGGGUUGUAAACUUCUUUUAUAUGGGAGUAAAAUGUUCCACGUGUGGGAUUUUGUAUGUACCAUAUGAAUAAGGCUCGGCUAACUCCGUGCCAGCAGCCGCGGUAAUACGGAGGAGCCGGGCGUUAUCCGGAUUUAUUGGGUUUAAAGGGAGCGUAGUAGGAUUUUUAAGUCAGUUGUGAAAGUUUGCGGCUCAACCGUAAAAUUGCAGUUGAAACUGGCAGGCUGGAGUACAGGAGAGGUGGGCGGAAUUCGUGGUGUAGCGGUGAAAUGCUUAGAUAUCACGAAGAACCCCGAUGGCGAAGGCAGCUUACUGGACUGCAACUGACAUUGAGGCUCGAAAGUGUGGGUAUCAAACAGGAUUAGAUACCCCAGUAGUC
rnacentral:rRNA from 1 species